CCUACGGGGGGCUGCAGUGGGGAAUAUUGCACAAUGGGCGCAAGCCUGAUGCAGCCAUGCCGCGUGUGUGAAGAAGGCCUUCGGGUUGUAAAGCACUUUCAGCGGGGAGGAAGGCGUUAAGGUUAAUAACCUUGUCGAUUGACGUUACCCGCAGAAGAAGCACCGGCUAACUCCGUGCCAGCAGCCGCGGUAAUACGGAGGGUGCAAGCGUUAAUCGGAAUUACUGGGCGUAAAGCGCACGCAGGCGGUCUGUCAAGUCGGAUGUGAAAUCCCCGGGCUCAACCUGGGAACUGCAUUCGAAACUGGCAGGCUAGAGUCGUGUAGAGGGGGGUAGAAUGCCAGGUGUAGCGGUGAAAUGCGUAGAGAGCUGGAGGAAUACCGGUGGCGAAGGCGGCCCCCUGGACAAAGACUGACGCUCAGGUGCGAAAGCGUGGGGAGCAAACAGGAUUAGAUACCCGUGUAGUC
rnacentral:rRNA from 1 species